rnacentral:lncRNA from 1 species
GAUCCUAUUAAAUAAUUCAAUGGUAGCGGUGCAAUUUUGGUUGGAACCAGCACGGAUUCCCAAGUCGUGACUGCAAAAAGUGAGUAAUGCGCGCUGGCUGCGUCAUGGCUCUAGUCACACUUCAUUCCGAACUGAGAAGGAAUCGUGACUUCGCCUGGAGACGUCCCCUACAUGGAGUUGGGGGGGUGCAAACCAGGGGUGAACGGGGGUGGGGGGAAGACCUAUCCAAUGAAAACCUCUGCCAGGGGGUGUUGCAUUUGAACUCCACUGCGCGCAGUGCUGCUGUCCCCUCUCUGCCCGUUGCACACCCGCCCCUCUCCGGGCCAGCGCUCUCUGCCGCGCUGGCUUGCCUCUCCGGCUCCCCAACGAGUCCUCAACAAGUUGGAGGGAGGCAGGAGCGCACGGGUUAAACUCGGGAAGCUGCAAUUAUCAAGAUCGUGACCCUCCCACACAGUACAGUAACUUAUAUACUUACCUGGAAGAGCCCGCUUUGCCGCUGGGCAAACACCCAUGGGGGUUGGGGAGGGGCAGGAGGGGAGCGGGCUGGCCAGAGAGGGCUGCUUCCAGACCGCUGCAGAGCACACCGAACCAAUGCACUCCCAAGACCCCCGGACUCAGGUGGUCAAGCCCGUCCUGAUACUGAAUGGUACAGUGAGGAGUGGCCACCCAAGGGAGGCAGUCUCGGAGGUCACAGGAGCUGAUAAGCCUGGAUGAAAGAUCACAGGAGUUCCAGGAACUCCGUUACUUGCAUGGAGAGGAAGUUUGCAAGAGAAUUUGGCAGUUCUGCUGGAUCAAGCAAAUAAAGAUUGGCAACUGGAGCUAGAGCUGGGGCUGGAGAGAUGGCUUAGCAGUUAAGAGCACUGGCUGCUCUUCCAGAGGAUCCAGGUUCAAUUUCCAGGACCCAUAUAGCAGCUCACAGCUGUCUGUAACUCCAGAUCCAGAGGAUCCGACAUGCUCACACAGACUUACACUCAGGGAUUUGACAACUGGAUGUGAGAAUCGAACCAAAGCUCCCUGUGUCCACCUGGUUGGCAGAGUGCUUCCCCAGCACAGAAGGAACUGGUACACACGUGGGAUUCAAGCACUCAGGAGCUGGAGGCAGAGCACCAGAAGCUCAGGUAUAAGGGGUUCAGGGUCAGCCUAGGGCACAUGAGAUCCUGCCGAAAGCAACAACCAAACUCAACGUGCUGAACUAUAUUCAGCUGAAGAUCAGAUAGUGCAGUGGAUGGCAGAGCUGUUAAGAACAGGUAAUGAAGACUUGGACCCUUGUCUCAAUUGUUAAGCUAUGAUAGUAUUCUUAAAAACAUCCAACUUCUAUAGAGUUCCCUAAUUAUGAAAAUUUCUUUUAUACAGUUUAGUACUCCUGGUUUUGCUGUGCAAAUUGAAUGUGGAUUUGUAGAAAUUUGUACCAAAAUGUAGAAAAACUGCCAAAGAACUUCAAUGGAAAUCUUUAUGUACUAUUACAAUGAAAUGCUG